rnacentral:rRNA from 1 species
AUUGAACGCUGGCGGCAGGCCUAACACAUGCAAGUCGAACGAGUGGCGGACGGGUGAGUAAUGUCUGGGAAACUGCCUGAUAGCGGGGGAUAACUACUGGAAACGGUAGCUAAUACCGCAUACCAUCAGCUGUGCCCAGAUGGGAUUAGCUUGUUGGUGGGGUAACGGCUCACCACGACGACGAGCCCUAGCUGUUCUGAGAGGAUGACCAGCAACACUGGAACUGGUACAACGUACAGAAUCCGACGGGAGGCAGCAGUGGGGAAUAUUGUACAAUGGGGGCCAGCCUGAUGCAGCCAUGUCUCGUGUAUGAAGAAGGCCUUCGGGUUGUAAAGUACUUGCAGCGUGGAGGCGUUACCCGCAGAAGAAGCACCGGCUAACUCCGUGCCAGCAGCCGCGGUAAUAC